rnacentral:rRNA from 2 species
CAGCUAUACAUGCAAGUCGAGCGAACAGAAGGGAGCUUGCUCCCGGAUGUUAGCGGCGGACGGGUGAGUAACACGUGGGUAACCUGCCUGUAAGACUGGGAUAACUCCGGGAAACCGGAGCUAAUACCGGAUAGUUCCUUGAACCGCAUGGUUCAAGGAUGAAAGACGGUUUCGGCUGUCACUUACAGAUGGACCCGCGGCGCAUUAGCUAGUUGGUGGGGUAAUGGCUCACCAAGGCGACGAUGCGUAGCCGACCUGAGAGGGUGAUCGGCCACACUGGGACUGAGACACGGCCCAGACUCCUACGGGAGGCAGCAGUAGGGAAUCUUCCGCAAUGGACGAAAGUCUGACGGAGCAACGCCGCGUGAGUGAUGAAGGUUUUCGGAUCGUAAAGCUCUGUUGUUAGGGAAGAACAAGUGCGAGAGUAACUGCUCGCACCUUGACGGUACCUAACCAGAAAGCCACGGCUAACUACGUGCCAGCAGCCGCGGUAAUACGUAGGUGGCAAGCGUUGUCCGGAAUUAUUGGGCGUAAAGGGCUCGCAGGCGGUUUCUUAAGUCUGAUGUGAAAGCCCCCGGCUCAACCGGGGAGGGUCAUUGGAAACUGGGAAACUUGAGUGCAGAAGAGGAGAGUGGAAUUCCACGUGUAGCGGUGAAAUGCGUAGAGAUGUGGAGGAACACCAGUGGCGAAGGCGACUCUCUGGUCUGUAACUGACGCUGAGGAGCGAAAGCGUGGGGAGCGAACAGGAUUAGAUACCCUGGUAGUCCACGCCGUAAACGAUGAGUGCUAAGUGUUAGGGGGUUUCCGCCCCUUAGUGCUGCAGCUAACGCAUUAAGCACUCCGCCUGGGGAGUACGGUCGCAAGACUGAAACUCAAAGGAAUUGACGGGGGCCCGCACAAGCGGUGGAGCAUGUGGUUUAAUUCGAAGCAACGCGAAGAACCUUACCAGGUCUUGACAUCCUCUGACAACCCUAGAGAUAGGGCUUUCCCUUCGGGGACAGAGUGACAGGUGGUGCAUGGUUGUCGUCAGCUCGUGUCGUGAGAUGUUGGGUUAAGUCCCGCAACGAGCGCAACCCUUGAUCUUAGUUGCCAGCAUUUAGUUGGGCACUCUAAGGUGACUGCCGGUGACAAACCGGAGGAAGGUGGGGAUGACGUCAAAUCAUCAUGCCCCUUAUGACCUGGGCUACACACGUGCUACAAUGGACAGAACAAAGGGYUGCGAGACCGCAAGGUUUAGCCAAUCCCAUAAAUCUGUUCUCAGUUCGGAUCGCAGUCUGCAACUCGACUGCGUGAAGCUGGAAUCGCUAGUAAUCGCGGAUCAGCAUGCY